AGAUCUUGGACCAAUCUUUUCAUGGUUGGUGCUUGUUACUGUCCCAUGCUGAGUCAUUUCCACGUUUGACACCUAAAUUGAGUUGGGUUUCUUCUUCUCUUGGUGUAAGUUUCUCUAUCAAACUUUGGAGACAAAAGCCAGAAACCAAAAGGGUGGGGAUGAGUUUUCAAAUUUUCCUUUGAAGGGCAGUUUUGGUUUCGAUUUGAUUGAGGGGGAGGAGAAAUGUAGCUUGUCAAUCUAAAUGGUUAAGUAGAGGG
rnacentral:lncRNA from 1 species